AGUUUGAGUCGGUUACACAGUAAGAUCAUCUUGUUAGAUUAUACAGAUGUACAGGUACAGUUUGAGUCGGUUACACAGUAAGAUCAUCUUGUUAGAUUAUACAGAUGUACAGAUGUACAGGUACAGUUUGAGUCGGUUACACAGUAAGAUCAUCUUGUUAGAUUAUACAGAUGUACAGAUGUACAGGUACAGUUUGAGUCGGUUACACAGUAAGAUCAUCUUGUUAGAUUAUACAGAUGUACAGAUGUACAGGUACAGUUUGAGUCUGUUAGACAGUAAGAUCAUCUUGUUAGAUUAUACAGAUGUACAGAUGUACAGGUACAGUUUGAGUCGGUUAGACAGUAAGAUCAUCUUGUUAGAUUAUACAGAUGUACAGGUACAGUUUGAGUCGGUUACACAGUAAGAUCAUCUUGUUAGAUUAUACAGAUGUACAGAUGUACAGGUACAGUUUGAGUCGGUUACACAGUAAGAUCAUCUUGUUAGAUUAUACAGAUGUACAGGUACAGUUUGAGUCGGUUACACAGUAAGAUCAUCUUGUUAGAUUAUACAGAUGGUUGUAUGUACAGAUGUACAGGUACAGUUUGAGUCGGUUAGACAGUAAAUUCAUCUUGUUAGAUUAUACAGUUGUACAGAUGUACAGGUACAGUUUGAGUCGGUUACACAGUAAGAUCAUCUUGUUAGAUUAUACAGAUGUACAGAUGUACAGGUACAGUUUGAGUCGGUUAGACAGUAAGAUCAUCUUGUUAGAUUAUACAGAUGUACAGGUACAGUUUGAGUCGGUUAACACAGUAAGAUCAUCUUGUUAGAUUAUCAGGCCCUAAUCUUACCGGCGAAAUGAGCGUUUUCUUCGCCGAAAGAAAGAAAUGUUUUAUUUAACAACGCACUCAACACAUUUUAUUUACGGUUAUAUGGCAUCAGACAUAUGGUUAAGGACCACACAGAUUU